ensembl:lncRNA
CGAAAAUCCCAUCACUAGUGUUUGUGUGUUGUGUGGUGUACUAUUGUACGAUUGCUGUGUGAUUUAUUACUAUUACUGAAGGUCUUCAUGGUCUUGAUGUAUUUGUGUUCUUGAUGUUUGUGUGUUCUUGGUGUUUGUGUGUUCUUGGUGUUUUUGUGUUCUUGGUGUUUGUGUGUUCUUGGUGUUUGUGUGUUCUUGAUGUUUGUGUGUUCUUGGUGUUUUUGUGUUCUUGAUGUUUUUUUUUUGUUCUUGGUGUUUGUGUGUUCUUGGUGUUUGUGUGUUCUUGAUGUUUGUGUGUUCUUGGUGUUUGUGUGUUUUUGAUGUUUUUUGUGUUCUUAGUGUUUGUGUGUUGUUGGUGUUUGUGUGUUCUUUAUGUUUUUGUGUUCUUGGUGUUUUUUUUGGUCUUGGUGUUUUUGUGUUCUUGGUGUUCAUGUGUUCUUGCUUUUCGUGUGUUCUUGAUGUUUUUUUUGUUCUUAGUGUUUUUGUGUUCUUGAUGUUUGUGUGUUCUUGGUGUGUUUGUGUUCUUGAUGUUUUUUGUGUUCUUCGUUUUUGUGUUCUUGAUGUUUUUGUGUUUGUGAUGUUCGUGUGUUCUUGAUGUUUCUGUGUUCAUGGUGUGUUUGUGUUCUUGAUGUUUGUGUGUUCUUGGUGUGUUUGUGUUCUUGGUGUUUUUGUGUUCUUGAUUUUUUGUGGUCUGGGUGUUUGUUUUUGAUGUUUUUUUGUGUUCAUGGUGUGUUUGUGUUCUUGAUGUUCGUGUGUUCUUGGUGUUUUUGUGUUCAUGAUGUUUUUGUGUUCUUGAUGUUUGUGUGUUCUUGAUGUUUUUUGUGUUCUUGGUGUUUGUGUGUUCUUGAUGUUUUUUGUGUUCUUGGUGUUUUUGUGUUCUUGGUGUUUUGUGUUCUUGGUGUUUGUGUGUUCUUGAUGUUUUUGUGUUCUUGAUGUCUUUGUGUUCUUUUUUUAUGCUGUUGAUGUUUGUGUGUUCUUGAUGUUUUUUUUGUUCUUCGUGUUUUUGUGUUCUUUAUUUUUUGUGGUCUGGGUGUUUGUGUUCUUGAUGUUUUUUUGUGUUCUUGGUGUUUUUGUGUUCUUGAUGUUUGUGUGUUUUUGAUGUUCGUGUGUUCAUGGUGUGUUUGUGUGUUCUUGAUGUUUUUUGUGUUCUUGGUGUUUUUUGUGUUCUUGGUGUUUUUGUGUUCUUUAUGUUUUUGUGUUCUUGAUGUUUGUGUUUUCUUGAUGUUUUUUGUGUUCUUGGUGUGUUUGUGUUCUUGAUGUUUGUGUUCUUGGUGUGUUUGUGUUCUUGAUGCUUGUGUGUUCUUGAUGUUUUUGUGUUCUUGAUGUUUGUGUGUUCUUGGUGUUUGUGUGUUCUUGGUGUGUUUGUGUUCUUGAUGUUUUUUGUGUUCUUGGUGUUUAUGUGUUCUUGGUGUUUGUGUGUUCUUGGUGCUUGUGUGUUCUUGAUGUUUUUUGUGUUCUUGGUGUUUUUGUGUUCUUGAUGUUUUUUGUGUUCUUGGUGUUUUUUCUUCAGAUUACAGAAUGCAUGCCCCAAAAUGUAUUUUGUAACGUAUUCCGUUACGUUACUGAAUGAGAGUAACGUAUUGUUAAUACUUUGGAUUGCUUAAUAUAUUAUCAUGCUUUUUACAACUACUUGGGUGUACUAUUGUACUAUUGCUAUGUGAUUUAUUACUAUUACUGAAGGUCUUCAUG